CGAAUUCGUACAAUAAGUGCACAAACACCAGAUCAAUUUGCAGUCAGUUUUUUAAGCCGUCAAAAACACAUGUUCCCUGGACCAAUGACGUAGGGCCAACAGUACGCGGACAGAUGAUCAGUUCGUUGGAAACGGCGGCGCUUCAGAACCGCAAUACCCGCAUGUCGGAUGACAACUGAAAUCCAGCGGACCAGGCGGGCGCAAGCAACGCCGACAAGCGGACCGAAAGCGUGCUCGCCAUGCCGCGGCCCGAACUUCGCCUGUGCCGACUCUAGUGGGGAACGCCAGUCGGCAGACGUUACCUUCCACCAGUUGGCUAGGAAAAUGCGAGACUUUCCAAGCUUUCCAACCGUCGAAAAGUAAAAAUUCGUCUGUAC